ensembl:snoRNA U3 Small nucleolar RNA U3
AAGACUGUACUUUCAGGGAUCAUUUCUAUAGUUCGCUACUCAGAUAUAGUAUAUAUAUGUUUUGUGGAUACUCA